rnacentral:rRNA from 1 species
GUGUCAGCAGCCGCGGUAAAACGUAGGUGGCGAGCGUUAUCCGGAUUUACUGGGCGUAAAGGGUGUGCAGGCGGCCGCUCAAGUGGUGUGUGAAAUCGCCCGGCUCAACCGGGCGCGGUCAGGCCAGACUGAGGGGCUGGAGUGCGGGAGAGGGGCGUGGAAUUCCGGGUGUAGUGGUGAAAUGCGUAGAGAUCCGGAGGAACCCCAGAGGCGAAGGCGGCGCCCUGGCCCGACACUGACGCUGAGACACGACAGCAUGGGGAGCGAACGGGAUUAGAAACCCUCGUAGUCC